AAGAGCUGCGCCAUGAGCGCAUGAUACGCCCGUCGUUCGCCAAUGAAGUAGUAAGGUAAUAAAUAACCCUUUGAAUCAUUUUUUUACUUCAGUUUAUUUGUAUUUGAAUACAUGGUUUAUUUUAUAAGUACAUGAGCAUGGAGCGCCGUCUCCUUGACAUUCAACAAAGUCCCAUAACUCUGGAACAACAAUUCAGAAUUCCGUCAAAAACGAAAGGGGAUCAGGGUUUAUCAAUAUUAAGAUUGUGUUGAAAUUUGAAAAAAAUCCAUCGAAGGAUAUUUGAGCUACGGUAGGACAUUCAAUGAAAUCACGAAAUUUUGACGAACAAAGUCCCAUAACUCUGGAACGACAAUUCAGAAUUCCGUCAAAAACGAAAGGGGAUCAGGGUUUAUCAAUAUUAAGAUUGUGUUGAAAUUUGAAAAAAAUCCAUCGAAGGAUAUUUGAGCUACAGUAGGACAUUCAAUGAAAUCACGAAAUUUUGACGAACAAAGUCCCAUAACUCUGGAACGACAAUUCAGAAUUCCGUCAAAAACGAAAGGGGAUCAGGGUUUAUCAAUAAUAAGAUUGUGUUGAAAUUUGAAAAAAAUCCAUCGAAGGAUAUUUGAGCUACAGUAGGACAUUCAAUGAAAUCACGAAAUUUUGACGAACAAAGUCCCAUAACUCUGGAACGACAAUUCAGAAUUCCGUCAAAAACGAAAGGGGAUCAGGGUUUAUCAAUAUUAAGAUUGUGUUGAAAUUUGAAAAAAAUCCAUCGAAGGAUAUUUGAGCUACAGUAGGACAUUCAAUGAAAUCACGAAAUUUUGACGAACAAAGUCCCAUAACUCUGGAACGACAAUUCAGAAUUCCGUCAAAAACGAAAGGGGAUCAGGGUUUAUCAAUAUUAAGAUUGUGUUGAAAUUUGAAAAAAAUCCAUCGAAGGAUAUUUGAGCUACAGUAGGACAUUCAAUGAAAUCACGAAAUUUUGACGAACAAAGUCCCAUAACUCUGGAACGACAAUUCAGAAUUCCGUCAAAAACGAAAGGGGAUCAGGGUUUAUCAAUAUUAAGAUUGUGUUGAAAUUUGAAAAAAAUCCAUCGAAGGAUAUUUGAGCUACAGUAGGACAUUCAAUGAAAUCACGAAAUUUUGACGAACAAAGUCCCAUAACUCUGGAACGACAAUUCAGAAUUCCGUCAAAAACGAAAGGGGAUCAGGGUUUAUCAAUAUUAAGAUUGUGUUAAAAUUUGAAGAAAAUCUGUCAAAGGAUAUUUGACGUAGCGUACGACAUUAACAGACGGACGGACAGACGCGGGGUAUACCAUAAUACGUCCCGUCAUA